rnacentral:rRNA from 1 species
UACGUAGGGUGCGAGCGUUAAUCGGAAUUACUGGGCGUAAAGCGUGCGCAGGCGGUUGGGUAAGUCUGAUGUGAAAGCCCCGGGCUCAACCUGGGAAUGGCAUUGGAAACUGGCUGGCUAGAGUGUGGCAGAGGGGGGUGGAAUUCCGCGUGUAGCAGUGAAAUGCGUAGAGAUGCGGAGGAACACCGAUGGCGAAGGCAGCCCCCUGGGCUGACACUGACGCUCAGGCACGAAAGCGUGGGGAGCAAACAGG